rnacentral:rRNA from 1 species
UACGUAGGGGGCAAGCGUUGUCCGGAUUUAUUGGGCGUAAAGAGCGUGUAGGCGGCUAAGUAAGUCUGCUGUGAAAACUCGAGGCUUAACCUCGAGCUGUCGGCGGAAACUAUUUGGCUAGAGUCCGGAAGAGGAGAGUGGAAUUCCUGGUGUAGCGGUGAAAUGCGCAGAUAUCAGGAAGAACACCUAUGGCGAAGGCAGCUCUCUGGGACGGUACUGACGCUGGGACGCGAAAGCGUGGGGAGCGAACAGG